rnacentral:rRNA from 1 species
CCUACGGGGGGCACCAGUGGGGAAUAUUGCACAAUGGGCGCAAGCCUGAUGCAGCCAUGCCGCGUGUGUGAAGAAGGCCUUCGGGUUGUAAAGCACUUUCAGCGGGGAGGAAGGCGGUGAGGUUAAUAACCUCAUCGAUUGACGUUACCCGCAGAAGAAGCACCGGCUAACUCCGUGCCAGCAGCCGCGGUAAUACGGAGGGUGCAAGCGUUAAUCGGAAUUACUGGGCGUAAAGCGCACGCAGGCGGUCUGUCAAGUCGGAUGUGAAAUCCCCGGGCUCAACCUGGGAACGUCAUUCGAAACUGGCAGGCUAGAGUCUUGUAGAGGGGGGUAGAAUUCCAGGUGUAGCGGUGAAAUGCGUAGAGAUCUGGAGGAAUACCGGUGGCGAAGGCGCCCCCCUGGACAAAGACUGACGCUCAGGUGCGAAAGCGUGGAGAGCAAACAGGAUUAGAUACCCGUGUAGUC